ACUAUUAAAUGCUGUGCAAGGAACACCUCCUCGGCAGCGCUGUUAAUGAACAGCUGAGCCGCCGGGAGGGGGGAGACUGUCACGCUCCUGGGUGUAAGGGCCCUGACUCCAGCAUCCGCUGCACCGCCGGACGGACAGAAAGUAUGUUUGUGUGUCAAGACCAAGGCAGAAACCAAUGGCUAGCUACAAGCACUUGCCGGCUCUCAUUGUACAUCAGAGAUUCCCUGAUCUUACAACAAUGUUGAACAGAUUUCUAUUCACAUUGGAUAAUGAAUGAAGCUUUCCUUGAGGCAAAAAUGGAAAGAUUUGCGGGCAUAUUUGUUUGGAAAAGGUUUUUCCACCAAAAUCCAGACUUUUGCCAAUCACUCUACUCAUUUAGCCAUCAGCACUUAUUGUAUAAAGACGUAUGAGCUGAGGAAGUCUUCAACCUCGUAUAAUGUUGGAUAUUCCUGAUGUGCUUGAGAUAAGAAAGGAAUAGCUUUGCUUAUUAAUUCAAGAUUGUGGAAGCCAAAACAGAGACAAUUCAUGGCAAACUAAUUAUCUUGCAGAAUCUUUACUGCAUCAGCAUACUUAUGUUGCUUAAUUUAAUAUGACUUUUAGACUAAAGAGUCGUUUCACUGCAAAUAGGUAAUUGCGCUUCCCAGACAUACUGUAAAUAUAAAAUAUUGAUCUCCAAAAUAUGUUGAAGAGAAACAGGUCAUUUCUGAAAGAAGUAAAUUUAAUUUGCUGGUUGAUGUGCAAGACUCAGCCUUCCUGAGGACUUCAUCUCAAACGUUUGGCUUAGUAAGACACCAAAUUUUUUUUUUGUUUAUCUAAAGCAAAUGUGGCAACAGAUUUAUCCAACCAAAUGAAUAAUUCAUGCCAAUCGGGAGAAAAAAAGGAAUAUAAACAGAAUUAAAAGUGCAAAGUCCAGCAGAGUACAGAAGCGCACAAGGCACAAGGAGUUACUGGAUCAAAAGUUGAAUUGGAUUUGAAGGCAUAAAUUGAUGUACUAGCGCAAAGAGAUAAGAGCUGUCAGGAAGACAUAAGAAAUGUUUUACCCACCAGACUCAUUGCUCUCUAUGUGACUAAACUUUCUUGCUUUAAUUUAUGUUUCUACACCUUUAGCACAGUUUUAAUGUAAAAGUGUUAUCAGGUAGUAAAACUGGAUUUAAGUCGAACAUUUAGGGGGGGAUUCAAUUGGGAGGAGGUUAAGCGAGGUAAAAAACCUUGCUUACUUUGCGCACAGUUUUGGAUUACCACAGGUAUGCGCGCCCCUGAUACCAUCAGUAACCAAACCCUGUGGCACAUUAAAAAA